UAUUACUUUUCAGUGAAUACAUAGCUGAUUAGAGGUAGACGCAGAGAACUGAAACAUCUUAGUACCUGCAGGAAGAGAAAGAAAAUUCGAUUCCCUGAGUAGCGGCGAGCGAAACGGGAAGAGCCCAAACCAACAAGCUUGCUUGUUGGGGUUGUAGGACUCCGAUAUGGUAGUCUGUUAGUAUAGUUGAAGGAUUUGGAAAAUUCCGCUAAAGAGGGUGAAAGCCCCGUAGACGAAAUGCUGACAACACCUAGGAGGAUCCUGAGUACGGCGGAACACGAGAAAUUCCGUCGGAAUCCGCGGGGACCAUCCCGCAAGGCUAAAUACUCCCUAGUGACCGAUAGUGAACCAGUACCGUGAGGGAAAGGUGAAAAGCACCCCGGAAGGGGAGUGAAAUAGAUCCUGAAACCGUGUGCCUACAACAAGUCAAAGCUCGUUAAUGAGUGAUGGCGUGCCUUUUGUAGAAUGAACCGGCGAGUUACGAUUGCAUGCGAGGUUAAGUCGAAGAGACGGAGCCGCAGCGAAAGCGAGUCUGAAUAGGGCGAAUGAGUAUGUAGUCGUAGACCCGAAACCAUGUGAUCUACCCAUGUCCAGGUUGAAGGUGCGGUAAAACGCACUGGAGGACCGAACCCACGUACGUUGAAAAGUGCGGGGAUGAGGUGUGGGUAGCGGAGAAAUUCCAAACGAACUUGGAGAUAGCUGGUUCUCUCCGAAAUAGCUUUAGGGCUAGCCUCGGAAUUGAGAAUGAUGGAGGUAGAGCACUGUUUGGACUAGGGGCCCAUCUCGGGUUACCGAAUUCAGAUAAACUCCGAAUGCCAUUCAUUUAUAUCCGGGAGUCAGACUGCGAGUGAUAAGAUCCGUAGUCGAAAGGGAAACAGCCCAGACCACCAGCUAAGGUCCCAAAAUAUAUGUUAAGUGGAAAAGGAUGUGGGGUUGCACAGACAACUAGGAUGUUGGCUUAGAAGCAGCCACCAUUUAAAGAGUGCGUAAUAGCUCACUAGUCGAGUGACCCUGCGCCGAAAAUGUACCGGGGCUAAACAUAUUACCGAAGCUGUGGACUACACCAUUAGGUGUAGUGGUAGGAGAGCGUUCUAAGGGCGUUGAAGGUCGAUCGUGAGGACGGCUGGAGCGCUUAGAAGUGAGAAUGCCGGUAUGAGUAGCGAAAGACAGGUGAGAAUCCUGUCCACCGUAUGACUAAGGUUUCCUGGGGAAGGCUCGUCCGCCC
rnacentral:rRNA from 1 species